rnacentral:rRNA from 1 species
AAACGGGUGAGUAACACGUGGGAACCUACCUCUUUGUGGGGAACAACACGCUGAAAGGCGUGCUAAUACCGCAUAAGUUCUUAUGAGAAUAGGAAGAAAGCCUUUCGGGGCGCGAAGAGAUGAGCCUGCGGCUGGUUAGCUAGUUGGUGGGGUAACGGCCUACCAAGGCGAUGAUCAGUAGCUGGUCUGAGAGGACAACCAGCCACACUGGGACUGCGAUACGGCCCAG